GACGAACGCUGGCGGCGUGCUUAACACAUGCAAGUCGAACGGAAAGGCCCUGCUUUUGUGGGGUGCUCGAGUGGCGAACGGGUGAGUAACACGUGAGUAACCUGCCCUUGACUUUGGGAUAACUUCAGGAAACUGGGGCUAAUACCGGAUAGGAGCUCCUGCUGCAUGGUGGGGGUUGGAAAGUUUCGGCGGUUGGGGAUGGACUCGCGGCUUAUCAGCUUGUUGGUGGGGUAGUGGCUUACCAAGGCUUUGACGGGUAGCCGGCCUGAGAGGGUGACCGGCCACAUUGGGACUGAGAUACGGCCCAGACUCCUACGGGAGGCAGCAGUGGGGAAUAUUGCACAAUGGGCGGAGGCCUGAUGCAGCAACGCCGCGUGCGGGAUGACGGCCCUCGGGUUGUAAACCGCUUUCGCCUGUGACGAAGCGUGAGUGACGGUAAUGGGUAAAGAAGCACCGGCUAACUACGUGCCAGCAGCCGCGGUGAUACGUAGGGUGCGAGCGUUGUCCGGAUUUAUUGGGCGUAAAGGGCUCGUAGGUGGUUGAUCGCGUCGGAAGUGUAAUCUUGGGGCUUAACCCUGAGCGUGCUUUCGAUACGGGUUGACUUGAGGAAGGUAGGGGAGAAUGGAAUUCCUGGUGGAGCGGUGGAAUGCGCAGAUAUCAGGAGGAACACCAGUGGCGAAGGCGGUUCUCUGGGCCUUUCCUGACGCUGAGGAGCGAAAGCGUGGGGAGCGAACAGGCUUAGAUACCCUGGUAGUCCACGCUGUAAACGGUGGGUACUAGGUGUGGGGUCCAUUCCACGGGUUCCGUGCCGUAGCUAACGCUUUAAGUACCCCGCCUGGGGAGUACGGCCGCAAGGCUAAAACUCAAAGGAAUUGACGGGGCCCCGCACAAGCGGCGGAGCAUGCGGAUUAAUUCGAUGCAACGCGUAGAACCUUACCUGGGUUUGACAUGGAUCGGGAGUGCUCAGAGAUGGGUGUGCCUCUUUUGGGGUCGGUUCACAGGUGGUGCAUGGCUGUCGUCAGCUCGUGUCGUGAGAUGUUGGGUUAAGUCCCGCAACGAGCGCAACCCUUGUUCACUGUUGCCAGCACGUUAUGGUGGGGACUCAGUGGAGACCGCCGGGGUCAACUCGGAGGAAGGUGGGGAUGACGUCAGGUCAUCAUGCCCCUUAUGUCCAGGGCUUCACGCAUGCUACAAUGGCUGGUACAGAGAGUGGCGAGCCUGUGAGGGUGAGCGAAUCUCGGAAAGCCGGUCUCAGUUCGGAUUGGGGUCUGCAACUCGACCUCAUGAAGUCGGAGUCGCUAGUAAUCGCAGAUCAGCAACGCUGCGGUGAAUACGUUCCCGGGGCU
rnacentral:rRNA from 1 species